GGGCGCACGGUGGAUGCCUUGACACUAGGAGUCGAUGAAGGACGGGACUAACGCCGAUAUGCUUCGGGGAGCUGUAAGUAAGCUUUGAUCCGAAGAUUUCCGAAUGGGGAAACCCACCAUACGUAAUGGUAUGGUAUCCUUAUCUGAAUACAUAGGGUAAGGAAGACAGACCCAGGGAACUGAAACAUCUAAGUACCUGGAGGAAGAGAAAGCAAAUGCGAUUUCCUGAGUAGCGGCGAGCGAAACGGAACAUAGCCCAAACCAAGAGGCUUGCCUCUUGGGGUUGUAGGACAUUCUAUACGGAGUUACAAAGGAACGAGGUAGACGAAGCGACCUGGAAAGGUCCGUCGUAGAGGGUAACAACCCCGUAGUCGAAACUUCGUUCUCUCUUGAAUGUAUCCUGAGUACGGCGGAACACGUGAAAUUCCGUCGGAAUCUGGGAGGACCAUCUCCCAAGGCUAAAUACUCCCUAGUGAUCGAUAGUGAACCAGUACCGUGAGGGAAAGGUGAAAAGCACCCCGGAAGGGGAGUGAAAGAGAUCCUGAAACCGUGUGCCUACAAAUAGUCAAAGCCCGUUAACGGGUGAUGGCGUGCCUUUUGUAGAAUGAACCGGCGAGUUACGAUCCCGUGCGAGGUUAAGCUGAAGAGGCGGAGCCGCAGCGAAAGCGAGUCUGAAUAGGGCGUUUAGUACGUGGUCGUAGACCCGAAACCAGGUGAUCUACCCAUGUCCAGGGUGAAGUUCAGGUAACACUGAAUGGAGGCCCGAACCCACGCACGUUGAAAAGUGCGGGGAUGAGGUGUGGGUAGCGGAGAAAUUCCAAUCGAACCUGGAGAUAGCUGGUUCUCCCCGAAAUAGCUUUAGGGCUAGCCUUAAGUGUAAGAGUCUUGGAGGUAGAGCACUGAUUGGACUAGGGGUCCUCAUCGGAUUACCGAAUUCAGUCAAACUCCGAAUGCCAAUGACUUAUCCUUAGGAGUCAGACUGCGAGUGAUAAGAUCCGUAGUCAAAAGGGAAACAGCCCAGACCGCCAGCUAAGGUCCCAAAGUGUGUAUUAAGUGGAAAAGGAUGUGGAGUUGCUUAGACAACUAGGAUGUUGGCUUAGAAGCAGCCACCAUUUAAAGAGUGCGUAAUAGCUCACUAGUCGAGUGACUCUGCGCCGAAAAUGUACCGGGGCUAAAUACACCACCGAAGCUGCGGAUUGAUACCAAUGGUAUCAGUGGUAGGGGAGCGUUCUAAGGACAGUGAAGUCAGACCGUAAGGACUGGUGGAGUGCUUAGAAGUGAGAAUGCCGGUAUGAGUAGCGAAAGACGGGUGAGAAUCCCGUCCACCGAAUGCCUAAGGUUUCCUGAGGAAGGCUCGUCCGCUCAGGGUUAGUCAGGACCUAAGCCGAGGCCGACAGGCGUAGGCGAUGGACAACAGGUUGAUAUUCCUGUACCACCUCUUUAUCGUUUGAGCAAUGGAGGGACGCAGAAGGAUAGAAGAAGCGUGCGAUUGGUUGUGCACGUCCAAGCAGUUAGGCUGAUAAGUAGGCAAAUCCGCUUAUCAUAAAGGCUGAGCUGUGAUGGGGAAGCUCCUUAUGGAGCGAAGUCUUUGAUUCCCCGCUGCCAAGAAAAGCUUCUAGCGAGAUAAAAGGUGCCUGUACCGCAAACCGACACAGGUAGGCGAGGAGAGAAUCCUAAGGUGUGCGAGAGAACUCUGGUUAAGGAACUCGGCAAAAUGACCCCGUAACUUCGGGAGAAGGGGUGCUUUCUUAACGGAAAGCCGCAGUGAAUAGGCCCAAGCGACUGUUUAGCAAAAACACAGCUCUCUGCGAAGCCGUAAGGCGAAGUAUAGGGGGUGACACCUGCCCGGUGCUGGAAGGUUAAGGAGAGGGGUUAGCGUAAGCGAAGCUCUGAACUGAAGCCCCAGUAAACGGCGGCCGUAACUAUAACGGUCCUAAGGUAGCGAAAUUCCUUGUCGGGUAAGUUCCGACCCGCACGAAAGGUGUAACGAUUUGGGCACUGUCUCAACCAGAGACUCGGUGAAAUUAUAGUACCUGUGAAGAUGCAGGUUACCCGCGACAGGACGGAAAGACCCCGUGGAGCUUUACUGUAGCCUGAUAUUGAAUUUUGGUACAGUUUGUACAGGAUAGGCGGGAGCCAUUGAAACCGGAGCGCUAGCUUCGGUGGAGGCGCUGGUGGGAUACCGCCCUGACUGUAUUGAAAUUCUAACCUACGGGUCUUAUCGACCCGGGAGACAGUGUCAGGUGGGCAGUUUGACUGGGGCGGUCGCCUCCUAAAGUGUAACGGAGGCGCCCAAAGGUUCCCUCAGAAUGGUUGGAAAUCAUUCGUAGAGUGCAAAGGCAUAAGGGAGCUUGACUGCGAGACCUACAAGUCGAGCAGGGACGAAAGUCGGGCUUAGUGAUCCGGUGGUUCCGCAUGGAAGGGCCAUCGCUCAACGGAUAAAAGCUACCCCGGGGAUAACAGGCUUAUCUCCCCCAAGAGUCCACAUCGACGGGGAGGUUUGGCACCUCGAUGUCGGCUCAUCGCAUCCUGGGGCUGUAGUCGGUCCCAAGGGUUGGGCUGUUCGCCCAUUAAAGCGGUACGCGAGCUGGGUUCAGAACGUCGUGAGACAGUUCGGUCCCUAUCCGUCGUGGGCGUAGGAAAUUUGAGAGGAGCUGUCCUUAGUACGAGAGGACCGGGAUGGACGCACCGCUGGUGUACCAGUUGUUCUGCCAAGGGCAUAGCUGGGUAGCUAUGUGCGGAAGGGAUAAGUGCUGAAAGCAUCUAAGCAUGAAGCCCCCCUCAAGAUGAGAUUUCCCAUAGCGUAAGCUAGUAAGAUCCCUGAAAGAUGAUCAGGUUGAUAGGUUCGAGGUGGAAGCAUGGUGACAUGUGGAGCUGACGAAUACUAAUAGAUCGAGGACUUAACCAU
rnacentral:rRNA from 1 species